UUGGAGGGCAAGUCUGGUGCCAGCAGCCGCGGUAAUUCCAGCUCCAAUAGCGUAUAUUAAAGUUGUUGCAGUUAAAAAGCUCGUAGUUGAAUUUCGGGGUCAGUAGGUCGGUCGUGCCACUGGCAUGAACUGGUUUUACUGAUUCCUCCCUCUUGAAGAACUGUAAUGCCAUUAAUUUGGUGUUGCAGGGAAUCAGGACUGUUACUUUGAAAAAAUUAGAGUGUUUAAAGCAGGCUUUAGCUUGAAUACAUUAGCAUGGAAUAAUGAAAUAGGACGUUUGAUCCUAUUUUGUUGGUUUCUAGGAUUGACGUAAUGAUUAAUAGGGAUAGUUGGGGGCAUUAGUAUUCAAUUGUCAGAGGUGAAAUUCUUGGAUUUAUUGAAGACUAACUACUGCGAAAGCAUUUGCCAAGGAUGUUUUCAUUAAUCAAUAACGAAAGUUAGGGGAUCGAAGACGAUCAGAUACCGUCGUAGUCUUAACCAUAAACUAUGCCGACUAGGGAUCGGAUGAUGUUAAUUUUUUAAUGACUCAUUCGGCGCCUUACGGGAAAC
rnacentral:rRNA from 1 species